rnacentral:lncRNA from 1 species
ACCAACAGGUGGGACCCAGAAUUCCUUUUCUUUUUCUACCGAAUUAAUUUUCUUAGGGAAAAGCAAGGAGAGGGCCCGACCUGUCAGUGGCUCGGCUGGUCUUCUCCUUUCUCCGUCUCCUUCUUCCUCCUGACCGAGCGGGAGCAGCAGGGGAAACACGAUGCGCACGGCAAGGCCGGCCGAGGACGACCCGACGGCGGCCAGGGAAGGGUGCGGCAAGGCUCCGGCGAUCUCCCGCCGGCUGCCACGGCGCAGGACGGCGCGGGGGCGAGUGGCAGCAUGGCCGCCAUGGCUGGGCACGGAUGGAGAGGAGGAGCUCCAGGAUGGCUUGUCCACGGCGAGCUCGCCGGCGGUGGAACGACGGCCGAACCGGCACGGCUUCGGUUGCUAAUUGGCGAAAUUAAAGGGGGCUCUAGUUUCUACGGAACUAGGAGAGGCCAGAGGAGCGAGGACUUACCGAGGGGUGGAGGAACGACGAAGUUCGAUGUCGCGGCCGUGGAGUAG